GGAAGGCGGGAGGAAGGAGGAGAGGAAGAAAGAAGGACUGGAAAAUGGAAGAAAGGAGAUUCAAGGAAUAACCAAUUUGCUAAUUGUCACUUCACCAUGCGUCACAGGUUCUGCAUUAAAAGGUGGGUUAGAAACUUGUCAAGAAGAGGCAGGGAGGGACACAAGGCUCCUGAAGAGAAAGCUUGCUGAUUGCAGUGGGAGGAGGACUUGGGAAACAGAAGAGGAAGUCACUGCCCUCAUUCUGCCAGGCUCACUCUGCUCAUCAAACAGCCUUAACAAUAAGCAAAAGCCUUCAGCAGAGCCAGGGUGGUUCAGAGGGAACCCGCUCAGCACUGCCACUCAUCCCAGUGCUGUGGUGACCUGUCACUUACGCCUCAGAUGCUGUCUCAGUUCUCCUGCCACCUCAGUCCUCCACGUGAGCUCCUGAUGAGGAACCAUGGGCAGAAC